UCUUUUUCCUGUGGCAACACUACCGCUAACAGCUGAUUUGAACUUGUCCCAAUUUAUUUACUGAUUUUUAUUUAAUUUAAUAUCAUAAAAGGUCUCUAAACUCAUCACUGUUACUGUUUUAUGUAAUUAUAAGUGAAAUAACGUUUAAAUCUGUGUAUUGCAUUGUGUUUAUGGUGCAAAUUGUGCAAAUACUUAGGACCGAUUUGACAGUGCAAUUGCGAAAAUAUUACGUUUGAUUUUGUUAACAUUGUUCUAUCUUUCGAAACAGGUAUUACCCUAGACUGUAAAUUACAAUGGGGCCCCCAUAUUGCUGCCUUGGCGGGAAGACUUAGUUCAGCUGCCUUUGCGGUGAGAAAGAUCAGAAACUUGACUGAUGUUGAAACAGCAAGGCUUGUAUAUUUUAGUUAUUUUCAUAGUAUUAUGUCUUAUGGUCUUUUACUGUGGGGCUCAGCAGCAGACAUAGAAUCAAUUUUCAUUUUACAGAAAAGAGCUGUUCGGGCAAUAUACGGUCUUAAACCACGUGACUCGCUUAGAGAAGUUUUUAAAGAAAUCAAUAUAUUGACUGUGGCUUCGCAAUACAUAUUUGAUAACAUUAUGUAUGUCCGUAAACAUAUACAUUUAUUUACUAAGAAAAGUGACGUCCACUCAUUUAACACGAGACAUAAGAAUAAACUUGCUGUUCCAUCAUUUAGGUUGCAUAAGAUAGGUAAUUCAUUCUUGGGGAAAUGUAUUACCAUAUUUAACAAAAUACCACACAACCUUGUCGAAUUGCCAAUAAACAAAUUUAAGAUACAUAUAAAAAAUACCCUUAUGUCCAAAGGGUACUACAAGGUUCGAGACUAUAUUGAUGACAAGGAUGCGUGGUCAGUUCAGUCUGCACAUAUUUGAUGUACUUAAAUUUGACUAUUCUUACCGUUAGAUAAUUCCUGGCAAUAAGUGGUGACUGAGUUUGUUCCGGCGUUUCUUCUCAGCACUUGCCAUAUGUUUGUCUCGAAGCGCUGGUAGGGCCCAAAAGAUAAGGAGACAUGUAAAGUGCCCCAUAAGGGCUACCUUUUCUUUUUUUAUUAUUUUCUAUUGACGUUCAUAAGUGCCACUUGUGGUCUAAACUGAAUAAAUAUUUUUUGAUUUGAUUUGA